UAAUAAGUGUUCUACUGCACUUUUUAAACAAGUACUCACCUUGUGUGCAAUGUUUGCUGACGCGUCGUUCACGCGUCGCGUCAGCAUAAUACCAACCCUUUAUUGUAACUUUUUUUGUCUGAAAAUAUUUUGAAUAAAUAAUUCUAAAUA
rnacentral:misc_RNA from 1 species